rnacentral:lncRNA from 1 species
ACCGUUUUGAAUCAUAACCUACGUCUGAUUUUAUGCCAUCACAGGAAGUAAUAGAUUCACUGGUUUUAACAGAUGAACUUGAUCUACCUAAUCAUCACGCACGGAAGCCAAAAUGACAUUUAAUCUUUCUUAUUUGAGUAAAGCUACAAGAGCAAUAUACCAUCAAUUAACACAAAAGCAGAUAUUACUGAGCGUCUGAGCACAUGAAUACUAAUACUACAUUAGAAGUGGAACAAAUCGCCAAUGCCGCAUGGAUAACAUACACAGAGAUCCCUAAAUAAGCUUUCUCCCAACAUUAAACAUGUCCAAGCAGCAAUAUUUCCCUAAGAAUGUAUCACCUAGCUACUAAACGCAACAUACACAACGUUCGGUGAUGGACGUUACAUGCUGGUUAAUUUUGCAAAUUUGCUGGAAUGCUCUGCUGUGAACCUAUGGCCUACAAAAUCUCCAGGACUUGCCCUCGAAACUGGAUGCAGUAAGUUGAUCACGAAACUCCAUCAGACCAAGACAUCUCCAGAUUUCCCCCAAAAUGAGAGUUCGGUAAGCUACCACCAUCAGCUUCCUAAUUGAUCACCCCACAAAAAAGAACUUCAUAAUUGAUUGUAGAGCAGUAGUUUUGAGAAACCUGAAAACAAAAAUAAGAAACAUUAGGCACAUUUGAGUAAACAUGUCAACAGAAUGAGUGAUACGGAAAAACAGCAAAACGAAAUUCAGUAAACAGAAACACUACUAUAAUCCAUCAAUGUGCAUUUCUAAAACUGAAAUAAUAUAGUGAAAUAUCACCUGGUCACCUGGAUAACACGUUUAUUUUCUAUCCAAGGCCUGACUGUAGCAUAAAAUUAGACUGUGGUCAAUUUUAAGAAAGAUCAAGCUUCAGUUUCAGGUUUUAAUCAGCUUGUUAUAAUAUUCAGGAAAAGGGAAGACAACGGACAUCAUAAUGACAAGGCUAAAUGUCCUUCAGAUUCUAAUACAGUGAUCACCUGAUGAAGAAGGCUAGGCAUCCUUUGUGCCUGAUAGUUCAGAAAC